AUUUCUUACUGUGAUGUAACUUCCUGCCAUGAUGUUCUCACAUAAAGUGAGGAUUUGGAAAUACACACAUUCCUGACUGAACUGUUCCUGUGGCAGCAUGUACGUUUCGAAAAGGGUUUGGUGUGAGGAGUGGGGUUUGGUGUGAGAAGGUAAGAUUUGGUGUGAGACAGUGGGGUUUGGUGUGAGGAGUGGGGUUUGGUGUGAGGAGUGGGGUUUGGUGUGUGGAGUGAGGUUUGGUGAGAGGAGUGGGGUUUGGUGUGAGGAGUGAAAUUUGGUAUGAGGAGUGGGGUUUGGUGUGGGGUUUGGUGUGAGGUUUGGUGUGUGGAGUGAGGUUUGGUGUGUGGAGUGAGGUUUGGUGUGAGGAGUGGGGUUUGGUGUGAGUAGGUGGGGUUUGGUGUGAGGAGUGGGGUUUUGUGUCGGAGUUGGGGUUUGGUGUAAGGAGUGGUGUUUGGUGUUAGGAGGUGGGGUCUGGUUUGAAGAGUAGUGUUUAGUGUGAGGAGGUGGUUUUUGGUGUGAGGAGUGGGGUUUGGUGUGAGGAGUGGGGUUUGGUGUGAGGAGUGCGGUUUGGUGUGGGGAGGUGGGGUUUGGUGUGGCAGGUGGGGUUUGGUGUGGGAAGUGGGGUUUGGUGUGAGGUGGAGGGGUGUCCACUAAUUGCAGGAUUGGUGGUUUGAUUCCUGGCCCAAGUCUCCACAUGCGUAAGUGUCCUUGGACAAGAACUGAACCCCAAGCCGCUCCUGAUAGCAGGCUCGCUCCUUACAUGUAUGUGUGUGUGUGUGUGUGUGUGUGUGUGUGAGAGAGCGAGAGAGAUACUGGUCUGUGUGUGUGUGUGUGUGAGUGUGUGUGUGUGUGAAUGGGUGAAUGAGAAACAGUGUAAAGCGCUUUGAAGAACCACUAAGUUUAAAAAGCGCUAUAUAAGUGCAGACCAUUUACCAUUUAAAC
ensembl:lncRNA